AGGUUGGUGGAGGCUCCUCAUUGGGUCUGUGGGUCUAACAGCUCUCCUCCUCAGUGUGGCUAAAGUACACAUAUGGAUAAGAACCAAAGGGAACCUAACACAGAUGGAAGAACACAUGGAGCAGAGUGAAGAAGAUGAAGAUGAAGAUAAGGCGGACUAUGAAAACAAGAGCCUUCUGCCUCUGUGUGACUGAUCAACAACAUCAACUCCCCUCAGAGUCCAUGCUGUCAAACAUCACCUCCUCAUAUGUUACAGGAGAAAACAGGAGAACCAUGAGAUCAUUGGAACAUGUCUGAUGACUGAGAACACCUGAGCCCCACGAGAGGCCCUUCAGAAACUCACCUCCAUAUGAUAGGAAACACAGCUUAUUAUAUUCAUUCCUUUCUGAUUUAACGUCCUUUAAGUAUGCUCUCACAUUCCCAUACAUAUAUGCUGAAACUUAAACCUUAAACUUCCAGCUGUUUAUUCUGUAAUGUCUUAUUAUUACCAUUACUUGUACUCACAG